AAUACAAGCAAGAAAACGGCAUUUCCACACUGGAGAGCAAGACGAGACAAGAGUGUUACGGGCGUGUUGAAUAUCUGAAAAUCUCAACAUGAGUGAUCCAAAACAACCACAGGAUUGCGGAGAUUCUGGUUCUGGCUCCGAGAGCUCAGGAGAUGAAGGUGGAAAGAAGCGUGGAAAGGGCCAAGGCAAAGGCAAAGGCAAAGGACAAGGUCAUGGACAAGGACACGGUCAUGGUCAAGGAGGUGAACAUGGGAAAAAAGGAUGUGAGCAACAAAAAGGAAAAAAGUGACAAGUUCAUAGCCUGAGGCCAGGGCAGUCCAUUUGUCCUCAUGACUCAACUGUUCAACUCCAUUUUGAACCCAAAAAAAUAAAUUAAAACACCCUGAAAC